AAGUACAAUUCCUUUCACCUUCUUAUUGUGGUUGCAAAUUUCGCAUGGAAGCAGAUGUUCAGUUUCUGCAGCGAUUAGAACUUGUUGUAGGAUGUUGGUAGAAAUCGAUCAAAGAAACCAUAAUAUUAUCUGCGCAUAUCAAGCUCCACUGCAUAAUAGAGGGACACGAGGAAGACCUUCCUACGAAAUCAGCGAGGAACAGCUUCAUUUUUUACUUCAGCGAGGGUUUAAAGUAUGUGACAUUAGUAAAAUUCUUGGGGUGAGUGUCAGGACGGUUGAGAGGAGAAUGUCAACAUUUGGGUUGAGUGUAUCAGGUAUGUUUAGUCCUAUAGAAGACAGCCAAUUGGAUGAGCUCGUUCGAACUGCUUCAAGCCAGCAUCCUGGAAUGGGUUUACGAAUGCUCAAAGGUUAUUUACAGAGCAAAGGGUUUCGUAUCCAGUGAGAAAGAAUAAGAUUAUCCCUAUUGCGAACAGAUCCCAUUGGUAUCAUGGAGAGAUGGAAAAGUACCACCAGGAGGCGAAAUUACAAUGUUAGGUAUCCACUCUCACUCUGGCACAUAGAUGGGAACCAUAAGUUGAUAAGGUACUGAUAAAAAUACCUGUU